CUACGGGCUGCACCAGCAAGGAAUAUUGGGCAAUGGGCGAAAGCCUGACCCAGCGACACCGCGUGGAGGAAGAAGGCCUUCGGGUUGUAAACUCCUUUUAUCAGGGAAGAAUAAUGACGGUACCUGGUGAAUAAGUCUCGGCUAACUACGUGCCAGCAGCCGCGGUAAUACGUAGGAGGCGAGCGUUAUCCGGAUUUACUGGGCGUAAAGAGGGCGUAGGCGGCUUUUCAAGUCGGAUGUGAAAUCUCCCGGCUUAACUGGGAGGGUGCAUUCGAUACUGGAUGGCUGGAGUGCAUCAGGGAAAGCGGAAUUCCCGGUGUAGUGGUGAAAUGCGUAGAUAUCGGGAAGAACACUAGUGGCGAAGGCGGAUUUCUGGGGUGUUACUGACGCUGAGGCCCGAAGGCGUGGGGAGCAAACAGGAUUAGAUACCCCCGUAGUA
rnacentral:rRNA from 1 species